UCAGAACUCGGACAUCUGAAGCGGAUUUGGAGGAGACCAGAUGUGUGUUUUUCUGUCCCCGUUAACUUUCUGUCCCCAGUACCCACUCAUUUCUCUUCAUACUGGAAGUUGGGCUCUUGGAAAACUGUAAAGAAUUUAACAACCCAUUCUACAAAGGAAGACAGCAUCUCAAAGCAGAAACAUAAUUUCUGACUGUGCCAUGGGAAGGAAAAGGCAAACUUGUGCAUGUUCUUGCAGAGAAGACAGAGGAACAACAGAGAGA